GAGUUUGAUCAUGGCUCAGAUUGAACGCUGGCGGCAUGCCUUACACAUGCAAGUCGAACGGCAGCGGGGGAAAGCUUGCUUUCCUGCCGGCGAGUGGCGAACGGGUGAGUAAUACAUCGGAACGUGCCCUGUAGUGGGGGAUAACUAGUCGAAAGAUUAGCUAAUACCGCAUACGACCUGAGGGUGAAAGUGGGGGACCGCAAGGCCUCAUGCUAUAGGAGCGGCCGAUGUCUGAUUAGCUAGUUGGUGGGGUAAAGGCCUACCAAGGCGACGAUCAGUAGCUGGUCUGAGAGGACGAUCAGCCACACUGGGACUGAGACACGGCCCAGACUCCUACGGGAGGCAGCAGUGGGGAAUUUUGGACAAUGGGCGAAAGCCUGAUCCAGCAAUGCCGCGUGUGUGAAGAAGGCCUUCGGUU
rnacentral:rRNA from 1 species